AGGUCUUGUAGUGCAGCCAAGGAUGACUUGCCAUUAAGCUUGGCUUGGCGUUAUUAUGAUGAAGACCUACUUUUCAUGCCAUCAUGUUCCUAUAUAUGCUAACUAGUUAACCGGCAAGCCAACUCUGGCUACACAAUGACCUCU
rfam:Glycine soja cultivar W05 scaffold4682_26, whole genome shotgun sequence.